UACGUAGGGGGCAAGCGUUGUCCGGAAUUAUUGGGCGUAAAGAGCUCGUAGGCGGUCUGUCACGUCGGCUGUGAAAUCCCGAGGCUCAACCUCGGGUCUGCAGUCGAUACGGGCAAACUAGAGUAUUGCAGGGGAGACUGGAAUUCCUGGUGUAGCGGCGAAAUGCGCAGAUAUCAGGAGGAACACCGGUGGCGAAGGCGGGUCUCUGGGCCGAUACUGACGCUGAGGAGCGAAAGCGUGGGGAGCAAACAGG
rnacentral:rRNA from 1 species